CCAAUAAACCUCAAUACAGAAUAAGAAAAUUAACCGCACAGUGAAAUGAAGUUUUUAGGGGUUUAUACCAUACCAAUAAUUGCCUCUCAAGAAGUCUGGCACCAGUAACAUUUGCCACAGCCCCCACCGCCACUGCAGGAGGGCAUCCAGUUAAAUGCGCAGAGCUAAAUAGUGCAGGUGAUGUAACUGAAGGGAAACUGAAGGAAAGCUAGGGUGAAGCCAGACAAGGAAGAAAAGGCCUAACAGACAUCCCAGUUUUGGCAUGGAAAGAAAAAAGCACUUGGAGCAGAGGACAAGGAGUGAUGAGAGCAAUCUGAAUGGACUACAGUGGUUACCGCUGCUUCAGACAACACUUCAAGGAAUGGCAAGGAAAUUUCAUGUCAAGAGACGUCACUGUCUCUGUGUGAGCUGAUUUGCCCCCACAGUAUAGGACAGACUACGGUUAACAUGAUGGGCUCUCUACAGCAGAUGGCUGCUCAGUGUCUCCUAUAGGAUCUAAGAGACUAUGGUGGGAGGACCCAGAACUGUCCAGUGGAGUCUGGGGCCAUGCUCCCCUGGCAUAAAUAACUGUACAUUUUAAAUUUUCUAUGCAUCAAUCUUGUGCACUUUGAGAGCAAGAGUAAGAGGCAAAAUCUAUGAAAAUGUUUGUUCUCACUAAACAAUUUUGUGUUCUUGUAGGUAUAAUAUGAGGGGUGUACCUAUCCCAAUUCACGGCCAUAAGAAGUCUUAAUUUUACCAGUGAGAGGCCUUACAUUUUUGAGUUAGACAUGUCCUUAUCCAUGCUUUGUUUUCUUGCCAGCCUUUGGUAGAUUUGAAUCAUCUUCCCCCACAAAUUUUUGCAUAUUCUUUAUAAAUCAGGGAAUUAGAUGUCAUUGGCGGUGGAUGUCCUACAUUUCCUGGAGGAGGACCCCAGACCCCUCAUUGAUUUUGUCUGACUCACUCUGAAUAAAUGAACUCUGUACUGUUGGGAAACACUUGUCCAGUUCUCUAGCAUCUAGCCACCAGGUUGCUCACUGAACAAUGUCUUGUUGCCCACCCUUAUUUAUUUGUGAAUUUUAAAUCGUA